CAUGCGCAGAGGCUCGGCCGUCUUCCUGGUGCGGGACCGCGGGCGCUGGCCACACCGGAGCGCCCGGUGCACGCAUCCCAGGGGUGUGUUGACUGUGGCCCAGGACGGAGACGCCAUCUAGCAGCUGCGCCCGCAGGGGUGGGGCCCUGUGACUCCUCUCCUGUCUGCAGGCAGAGACACGGGGAUAGAGGGAGUGGUUCCCAGAUGCCGGCCACUUACCGAAGGCAGACUCGUGGACCCCGGAGAACACCCCUUGCCUGUCAGGCAUCACAGGGUCCCAAAGCGAGAGUCCAGUGCUGCCGUUAGAACCUGGCGCUCCGUGUGGGCAGCUCAGCUCCUCACUGGCGACCCCUGAGGCUCGAGGUGGAGAACUUACGUCUGGGAAAGAAGCCUGUUUCUAAGGUUGGUUUGACCCAGCGCCCCCUGCCAGCCCGACAGGCACUGUCCCCCCACAUAGCCUGCGUGUCCUGGUGCUGUGGAAGUCGGCAGCCCCCAGGCUCGGGAGGGGAGUGAGCCCCGUCCUGCGGGCCAGCUCCCUGCCGCUCCUCCAAGGGCAGCAAACCUCUCAGCGCCCCCCCCACCCAGGCCCUCCAUAAACAUUUGUGGGGGCGGGAGAAGAAAUGCGGCAUAGGAAACGCUGAUCCAGCACGCACGUUCCUUGUUGCCUGACCGUGGCUUGGAGGUCAGAGGAGGGCCGUCCAUGACCCACACGGGCUGUGAGCACCACCCGGAGCGUCCGGGAGCACGGGUCCUGCACUGGGAGCUGGGCGGCCUCGCUGAGCCAAGCCCGUGACCCCGGGCGGCGGCGGCGCCGCAGGGCCCUGUGGCGGCCACCCCUCAUCUGCACGCCGACGGAUCUGGCGAAUCCCAUCAACGGCUCCCUUCCAGGGACCUGGCAGCUCGGAGUCAGGCCUUAGGGUUAAAGCAAGUCCAGGGGAGGGGGGGGUCCGGGCUCGUCCCUUCCGAGCUCUGUGCAGCUUGCAAACGGAGCCUGGUGCUCAGCUGGCCGCCGGCUCUGCCUUCAGAAUUCACUGACAGUGUCAACGGAGUCAGCGGGAGGGAGAUGGCUA